rnacentral:rRNA from 1 species
UUGGAUUUGGGCGUCUGCGAUUUCUGAUCGCUCGCCUUAAAAGAGUUAGCAAGUUUGACAUUAAUGUCUGGUGUAAUAAGUUUCACUGGGUCCAUUGUGUUGAAGCGUGCUUCUAAUCGUCCGCAAGGACAAUUACUUUGACUCUGGCCUGAAAUCAGGUAGGACUACCCGCUGAACUUAAGCAUAUCAAUAAGCGGAGGAAAAGAAACUAACAAGGAUUCCCCUAGUAACGGCGAGUGAAGCGGGAAGAGCUCAAAUUUGAAAUCUGGCAGUCUUCGAUUGUCCGAGUUGUAAUCUAUAGAGGCGUUUUCCGUGCCGGACCGUGUCCAAGUCUCCUGGAAAGGAGUAUCAAAGAGGGUGAUAAUCCCGUACUUAACACGACCACCGGUGCUCUGUGAUACGUCUUCUACGAGUCGAGUUGUUUGGGAAUGCAGCUCAAAAUGGGUGGUGAAUUCCAUCUAAAGCUAAAUAUUGGCGAGAGACCGAUAGCGAACAAGUACCGUGAGGGAAAGAUGAAAAGCACUUUGGAAAGAGAGUUAAACAGUACGUGAAAUUGUUGAAAGGGAAACGAUUGAAGUCAGUCGUGUUCUUUGGAUUCAGCCAGUUCUGCUGGUCUACUUCCUUGGAACGGGUCAACAUCAGUUUUGUCCGGUGGAUAAAGGUAGUAGGAAUGUGACUUCUCCGGAAGUGUUAUAGCCUAUUAUCACAUACACUGGGUGAGACUGAGGACUGCAGCUCGCCUUUAUGGCCGGCCUUCGGGCA